rnacentral:rRNA from 1 species
UACAGGGGGGGCAAGCGUUGUUCGGAAUUACUGGGCGUAAAGGGCGCGUAGGUGGCCAACUAAGUCAGACGUGAAAUCCCUCGGCUUAACCGGGGAACUGCGUCUGAUACUGGAUGGCUUGAGUUCGGGAGAGGGAUGCGGAAUUCCAGGUGUAGCGGUGAAAUGCGUAGAUAUCUGGAGGAACACCGGUGGCGAAGGCGGCAUCCUGGACCGACACUGACACUGAGGAGCGAAAGCCAGGGGAGCAAACGGG